GCCAGGCACAGUGGUGGCAUCCACCUGUCGUCCCAGCUACUCAGAAGGCAAGAGGAUCACUCGGGGCCCAGGAGUUCUGGGCUGUAGUGCACUAUGCUUGGCACUAAGUUUGGCAUUAAUAUGGUGGCCUCCUAGGAGUGGGCGACCACUGGGUUGUUUAAGGGAGGGUGAGCAGGCCCAGGUAGGAAAUGGAGCAGGUCUGAACUCCAGAAAUGUCCUGUGCUGGACAGUAGUGGGAUCAGCCACCGCACUCAGGCCUGGGGAACAUAGUGAGGCCUCACCUCUU
ensembl:misc_RNA Metazoa_SRP Metazoan signal recognition particle RNA